GCGUGAUUAGUCUAGUGGUUAGGAUUGUCGCCUUCCAAGCGAUAGGGCUGGGUUCGAUUCCCAGAUCACGCA
rnacentral:tRNA from 1 species